UGUCCAGUAGCACCUUAGAAACCAACUAAGUUUGUUCUGGGUAUAAGCUUUCGUGUGCAUGCAUGAAGAAAGCUUAUACCCAGAACCAACUUAGUUGGUCUCUAAGGUGCUACUGGACA